rnacentral:rRNA from 1 species
CCUCUGGGCUGUAAACCUCUUUUCUCAAGGAAGAAGAUAUGACGGUACUUGAGGAAUAAGCCACGGCUAAUUCCGUGCCAGCAGCCGCGGUAAUACGGGAGUGGCAAGCGUUAUCCGGAAUUAUUGGGCGUAAAGCGUCCGCAGGCGGCUUUUCAAGUCUGCUGUUAAAGCGUGGAGCUUAACUCCAUCAUGGCAGUGGAAACUGAAAGGCUUGAGUAUGGUAGGGGCAGAGGGAAUUCCCGGUGUAGCGGUGAAAUGCGUAGAUAUCGGGAAGAACACCAGUGGCGAAGGCGCUCUGCUGGGCCAUUACUGACGCUCAUGGACGAAAGCCAGGGGAGCGAAAGGGAUUAGAUACCCCUGUAGUCCUGGCCGUAAACGAUGAACACUAGGUGUCGGGGGAAUCGACCCCUUCGGUGUCGUAGCUAACGCGUUAAGUGUUCCGCCUGGGGAGUACGCACGCAAGUGUGAAACUCAAAGGAAUUGACGGGGGCCCGCACAAGCGGUGGAGUAUGUGGUUUAAUUCGAUGCAACGCGAAGAACCUUACCAGGGUUUGACAUCCUGCGAACCUCUUAGAAAUUUGAGGGUGCCUUCGGGAAUGCAGUGACAGGUGGUGCAUGGCUGUCGUCAGCUCGUGUCGUGAGAUGUUGGGUUAAGUCCCGCAACGAGCGCAACCCACGUUUUUAGUUGCCAGCAUUUAGUUGGGCACUCUAGAAAGACCGCCGGUGAUAAACCGGAGGAAGGUGUGGAUGACGUCAAGUCAUCAUGCCCCUUACACCCUGGGCUACACACGUACUACAAUGCUACGGACAAAGGGCAGCAAACUCGCGAGAGCUAGCAAAUCCCAUAAACCGUGGCUCA